rnacentral:rRNA from 1 species
CGCACGGGUGAGUAACACGUAUCCAACCUGCCGUCUACUCUUGGCCAGCCUUCUGAAAGGAAGAUUAAUCCAGGAUGGCAUCAUGAGUUCACAUGUCCGCAUGAUUAAAGGUAUUUUCCGGUAGACGAUGGGGAUGCGUUCCAUUAGAUAGUAGGUGGGGUAACGGCCCACCUAGUCAACGAUGGAUAGGGGUUCUGAGAGGAAGGUCCCCCACAUUGGAACUGAGACACGGUCCAA